rnacentral:rRNA from 1 species
UAACGAAUAUUGGGCAAUGGGCGAAAGCCUGACCCAGCAAUGCCGCGUGCAGGACGAAGUACUUCGGGAUGUAAACUGCUGUCAGGGGUCCGCAAGCGAAGGGGUCCAACAGGCCCUGGAGUUGAGCAGCCCCAGAGGAAGCCUCGACUAACUCUGUGCCAGCAGCCGCGGUAAUACGUAGGAGGCGAGCGUUGUCCGGAUUUACUGGGUAUAACUGGUCCGCCGGCGAAUUGACAAGUCGAGGGUGAAAUCCUUCAGCUUAACUGAAGAGCUGCCGUCGAUACUGUUGAUCUUGAAUACAGGAGAGAGUAACGGAAUUCCAGGUGUAGCGGUGAAAUGCUUAGAUAUCUGGAAGAACACCGGUAGCGAAUGCUGUUGUCUGGCCUUGUAUUGACGCUCAGUGACGAAAGCGUGGGGAUCAAUCAGGAUUAUUUACCCUGGUCGUC